GUGAAACCGCUUAGGGAUUAAACCCGAUGAACCCGAAUAACUGAAUGGAGAAAUUCAAUGUUAUCUGCGAUGAUUUUUAUUGUCAAUGUUAUCAUGCACUUUUCUCUUAGUAAGACAUUGCGAUCUAUUAAUAGAUAUUUAUAGUUUCCAUACUAUGAAUUAUUUGUCAAUGGUACUUUGGGACGUUCUAUUCUUUAUUCAAUUUAUUUUGUAUAAUUGUGAUAGAGCCCUAGGUAAUCCAGGCAAUAUGUUGAUAGAUUUUAUGAAUUACACAAGUAUCCAUGUGAUAUGACGCGAAUGCGUAACGAUUUAGUUGCAGUAUUUGUAUGUAAUUUAAUCAGCAAUGAAAUUGAUUUGGGAUACCUUCGGGACCCGUCUUGAAACACGGACCAAGGAGUAUAGUAUGUGUACGAGUCAUUGAGUGCUAAAACUUAAAGGCUAAAUUAACGUGACUGUUUUAUGGGAUUACAUGUUUCAUACAAGUAUCUAACAUUUCCAUCCCAGGGCGUUUUCAUCAACUCUAUGUAGCACUUGUGGUUGCAUAGAGUGAAAGCGUACCUUGAGUAUACAUACUGUGACCCGAAAGAUGGUGAACUAUACCUGAUCAGGUC
rnacentral:rRNA from 1 species